UAUAUGAGAAGUUUGGCAAAGACAGCUGCUUCCCCAUCACAGUUAUGCUACUGAACCUUCAAGUGUGAGGUAACUUCCUGUUUCCGAAAGGUGUCGUGUUUCUUUCGAUUUCUGUCACUUGGCAAAGAGUUUUCAGGGUUUCUCCCAGCUAGAAGGAUCCUUACGUUACAUCAGUAGCGUGCACCGAGUGCAGUAACAUCUAUAGGUCAUCUCAGGCUGUGGUGAGGAAAGCAGCGCCUUUAUUUCAGGUGACUGUGAGAAGCUCCAGCUCCCCAGGUACGGGCCGCUUCCAGCCCGUAGGGCCUGAGCCCGACACCUGCGCUAGAGCUCGGCAGGCCUCUCCUGGAUGGACAGAGGCGGGUCCUCUGUGGGCGUCCGGACCCCAGCUCACCCACGCCUGCCUUCCGCUCAUCGCCGCCCACUCCCGGGCGUUUCUCCGGGAGGCCUGGGGUCCCGGGCCUCGGCGGCCUGCGGGUGAGCUGCCCUUCCUCUGGGAUCCCGGCGCAGGUAGGGCCGCCACCAGUACCUCCAACUUCUUCUUUGGAAGCUCUCUUCUCGCCUCCUGGGCUUAAUUCUCGCUUCGGCUCCUUCCUGGGUUCCGGGGACCCCUUCCUUCCUUCUGCUUACGUUGCCUUACUCCAGGGCCUGGAACCCUAACUGGAGAGGCACUCCGGCUGCGCCCCACUCCGCCAUCUUCCCGGAAGUCUUGUGAAGAGGCCUGCACAGCGUGCCACUGAGGUGCUGCCCUCCACGGUGUUACGGUGCAUCAAGAAGUUCCUGACCAGAUGUUGAGCAGAUGCCUCUAGGGGCCCUCAAGCUUCUCAGCCUCCAGAAUUGACUUUGGUCAAGAAUACUCUUGGUGGAGAAAAGCAGCAGGGCCAGUUCCUCCUCAGCCCCAGUGGGCCAGCGUUGUGCUCCUCCUCCGGCGUGCCUACCGGAGACAGCCCUCACCCUUGGGGAAUCCCCUCAUUGAACUCCGAUUGCCUUCUCUCAAGAGGUAUUGAAGGACUGAAAUCAUUCUCCUUUCCUAAGCCAUGCGUGCAUGCUCAUUGCAGGAUGCUGUCCUCAUGGGAGACUUGGUGUGUAGAAAGCAAGACUGUUGUCCUUCUGAGUUCACUGUAACUGGGCAGAAGAUGAUGGCCUUUAGGGUUAGUGAUAGAAUCAAACUGACUUUAUUAAUAUUCAACACAUUGUAGAAUAUCAGUCUCAGUAUCUACUUUGUUUUAUAGAAUAUAUUAAUUUUUUGUAUUCUUAUGCAUUUUAAUUUGAGUUUGGUGUGAGAAUAAAUUAUCCUAAGUAUAUUUUCACAUGAUUAUUCUUUAAUAUUCUCUAUUUACUUUUCUACCUGUGAGGCCAGUAUGCAAAGAUUUAAAGGAAAAAUGGUGCAUGGAUAGACAGACAGACAGACAUAGUUAUUCUGUUGAGAGACCGUGCAACUCAGUGAUAUCCAGUAAUCUUGGAAGUCACAAACACAUAGGUUCCAGUCCUAAAUCCAGCACAUUACUACAUUGAUGCCCUCCAAGGGACCUAAGUUUAUACAUUUCAAUUUUGCCUUUUAAGGAAACAUCAUGGGAAAAUAUGUCUUUUUAUCAAAGACCACAUCAAAUAUGGCUUUCAGUGAAUAACAGUUGUGUUACUAUCAUUGUCUUUUGUGAGAUUAAAGGUACAACAUACGUAAAGUGCUGACCAUGGUGCGUGAGCAUUCUGGUGUGCCACUGCACAGUAGAGUGACUACAGAUAAUAAUAAAGUACUCUAUACCACAAAAAGCUAUAAAGAAUAAUUUAGAAUAUUUCAUCAAAGAUAUAGAUAUUUGAUGAGGUAGAUAUGCAUAACCUAAUUUAAAUAUUGCACAGUUUAUAUAUGCAUUGAAAUAUCAUGAU